rnacentral:rRNA from 1 species
UACGUAGGGCGCAAGCGUUGUCCGGAAUUAUUGGGCGUAAAGAGCUCGUAGGCGGCUUGUCACGUCGGGUGUGAAAGCCCGGGGCUUAACCCCGGGUCUGCAUUCGAUACGGGCUAGCUAGAGUGUGGUAGGGGAGAUCGGAAUUCCUGGUGUAGCGGUGAAAUGCGCAGAUAUCAGGAGGAACACCGGAGUGGCGAAGGCAGGUCUCUGGGCCAUUACUGACACUGAGAAGCGAAAGCAUGGGGAGCGAACAGG